rnacentral:rRNA from 1 species
CAGCGAGACGGUAACGUUAAGCGAAUCUCAAAAAAGACAUUCUCAGUUCGGAUUGUGGGCUGAAACCCGCCCACAUGAAGUCGGAGUUGCUAGUAAUCCCGAAUCAGAAUGUCGGGGUGAAUGCGUUCCCGGGUCUUGUACACACCGCCCGUCACGCCAUAGGAGUUGGGGGUAUCCGAAGUCGGUGAGCUAACCGCAAGGGGGCAGCCGCCUAAGGUAAAACCAAUGACUGGGGUGAAGUCGUAACAAGGUAUC